CAGUAGCCGCGGGAAUACGAAGGGGGCUAGCGUUGUUCGGAAUCACUGGGCGUAAAGCGCACGUAGGCGGAUUUUUAAGUCAGGGGUGAAAUCCCGAGGCUCAACCUCGGAACUGCCUUUGAUACUGGGGAUCUGGAGUCCGGGAGAGGUGAGCGGAACUGCGAGUGUAGAGGUGAAAUUCGUAGAUAUUCGCAAGAACACCAGUGGCGAAGGCGGCUCACUGGCCCGGAACUGACGCUGAGGUGCGAAAGCGUGGGGAGCAAACAGGAUUAGAGACCCCUGUAGUCCCUGUCUCUUAUAC
rnacentral:rRNA from 1 species